rnacentral:lncRNA from 1 species
UUCUGCUUUUUUGACUUCCACAUAUCUAAAACGUCAAAUCAAAAAGUAAAGAGUCCGAAUUCUUUUCCUUCGUCGAGCUCUUCACCUUUCCAUCUCCUUCUCUUUUCCUUCCUGAAUCCUUCUCCCUCACCGAGCUCUUCGUCUGUCGUCCCCAAACAUUACUUUUUGCUUUAUAGUAACAUAGUUACUAAACAGAUUUUUUAUUUUUUUGCUUUUACUC